rnacentral:tRNA from 1 species
GUUCAAACUUAGAGUGGAGGGAUUCCCGAGCGGCCAAAGGGAGCAGACUGUAAAUCUGCCGGCUCAGCCUUCGAAGGUUCGAAUC